AUGCUGAUGUUGGCAGCGUAUUGCUAUCUGGCGAGUCUUGAGGUUCCUGAAACCCAGUCACCUCUACCGCUGUGCCACAUAUCCACCCCCUCAUGUUCUUGUUGGGUGAUGGAGUGUUUCCCUGUCUGGACAGGCCCAUUUCCCUCAUCACACCAUUCAAGAAUCCUCUCAGGGGAGUGGCAUAACACAGGUUGGUACUUCAAAACAUGUGAUUUCGAUUGAAAUGUCACAGAAAUGGUAAUUACAAAAUCAUUAAUUUAUCAACACUUACCUAUAGGUUUAACACCCAUCAUGCCAGGGCUCGUUCAGUCAUUGAACGAGCA
rnacentral:lncRNA from 1 species